rnacentral:rRNA from 1 species
AUUGAACGCUGGCGGCAGGCCUAACACAUGCAAGUCGAACGAGUGGCGGACGGGUGAGUAAUGUCUGGGAAACUGCCCGAUGGAGGGGGAUAACUACUGGAAACGGUAGCUAAUACCGCAUACCCUCGGAUGUGCCCAGAUGGGAUUGGCUAGCAGGGGGGGUAACGGCUCAACUAGGCGACGCUCCCUAGCUGGCCUGAGAGGAUGACCAGCCACACUGGAACUGAGACACGGUCCAGACUCCUACGGGAGGCAGCAGUGGGGAAUAUUGCACAAUUGGCGCAAGCCUGAUGCAGCCAUGCCGCGUGUAUGAAGAAGGCCUUCGGGUUGUAAAGGACUUUCAGCGAGGAGGCGUUACUCGCAGAAGAAGCACCGGCUAACUCCGUGCCAGCAGCCGCGGUAAUUC